rnacentral:rRNA from 1 species
UUUAAAGAGAGUUUGAUCCUGGCUCAGGACGAACGCUGGCGGCGUGCCUAAUACAUGCAAGUCGAACGAACCGACGAAAAGCUUGCUUUUCUGACGUGAGUGGCGGACGGGUGAGUAACACGUGGGCAACCUGCCUAUCAGUUGGGGAUAACUCCGGGAAACCGGGGCUAAUACCGAAUAAUAACGAGCGUCGCAUGACGCUGGUUUGAAAGAUGGUUUCGGCUAUCGCUGAUAGAUGGGCCCGCGGUGCAUUAGCUAGUUGGUGGGGUAAUGGCUCACCAAGGCAACGAUGCAUAGCCGACCUGAGAGGGUGAUCGGCCACACUGGGACUGAGACACGGCCCAGACUCCUACGGGAGGCAGCAGUAGGGAAUCUUCCGCAAUGGACGAAAGUCUGACGGAGCAACGCCGCGUGUGUGAAGAAGGUUUUCGGAUCGUAAAGCACUGUUGUUAGAGAAGAACAAGGAUAAGAGUAACUGCUUGUCCCUUGACGGUAUCUAACCAGAAAGCCACGGCUAACUACGUGCCAGCAGCCGCGG